rnacentral:lncRNA from 7 species
GUUUAAUUAUUAUGAAAUUUUAGAGAUAUUUAAAAUAUAUUUAUUUAUAUUUCUGGGAAAUAAGGAUAAAAGAAAAAGAAAAUCGGAAACCCUAAUCUUUUCGGCCCACCAGGGCCCAUCUCAAGGCUAGUCGUCGCGCCGCCUUAACCCACUCCCCUCUCUCCGGCAGGUGGGGCCUCACGGUCGCGCGAGCGCGCUCACGGCCGCACGAGCGCGCUCACAGCCACGCAGGCGCGCUCGGACGCGCCGCCGACACCUCGGCUUCCGCGGCUGUUCGAAGAACGGCCAGGGCAGACGCCGGUGCUCCUUCCCAUUCCCCGGCCAUCUCUAUCCCCAGCGUCGACCCUCCAUCUUCCUCUCCUCCCCACUCCCCUCUUCUCCAGGCCGGUAACGGUCGUAGUAAUGGCCAACGCCAUUAAUGGCGUUUGAUGGUUGUCAGCCGCCAUUCAUCCCUUCCCAGCGUCUUCUCUCCUCCCCACUCUAUAAAACCCCGGUCGCGCCCUUGGAGCCUUGCCCUAACCACAGCCACCUCGCGCUCUCCUCUCUCGCUGUGUAGCUCGCCGACAGAGCCCCGCCGUGCCCUUCACCGCCGACCGGAGCCAGAGUGUCGUUCACCACCGCAUCGUUGAAGCCGCGACCCCGGUGACCACCACUGCCCAUGCCCCUUGUUCGGCCGUCCCGCUCCCACUCGCCGAGCUCCUUGCGCACAAAAGCUAGCCAGAGGUAGAAGAUGAACAUUUUGUGUUUUAGUCCCUGGCUUUGUGUAGAUCUUGUUCAGGUAUUUUUCAGUUCAGAAACCAUUAAAAAGAGAUCCAUGUUUCUUUCUUGCUACUCCCUGAUGUAUACGUUUAAUUGUGAACCAGCACCUGCAGCAAUAUUUCGAUAUGGGCAUUUUAUAUUUCGAAUAUAAAUAAGUUAUGUUAUGAUUUAUUAACUUCGUAAUCUAGUACUAGAAACAUUUGCAAUUAACUUCUCGUUUUAACGCAUGAAAUAAUAUUAUGUUAGUAGUUGUUAAGUGUA